rnacentral:rRNA from 1 species
CGACGGGUAGCCGGCCUGAGAGGGCGACCGGCCACACUGGGACUGAGACACGGCCCAGACUCCUACGGGAGGCAGCAGUGGGGAAUAUUGCACAAUGGGCGCAAGCCUGAUGCAGCGACGCCGCGUGAGGGAUGACGGCCUUCGGGUUGUAAACCUCUUUCAGCAGGGAMGAAGCGUGAGUGACGGUACCUGCAGAAGAAGCACCGGCCAACUACGUGCCAGCAGCCGCGGUAAUACGUAGGGUGCAAGCGUUGUCCGGAAUUACUGGGCGUAAAGAGCUCGUAGGCGGUUUGUCRCGUCGUCUGUGAAAACCAGCAGCUCAACUGUUGGCUUGCAGGSGAUACGGGCWGACUUGAGURUUUCAGGGGAGACUGGAAUUCCUGGUGUAGCGGUGAAAUGCGCAGAUAUCAGGAGGAACACCGGUGGCGAAGGCGGGUCUCUGGGAWAUAACUGACGCUGAGGAGCGAAAGCRUGGGKAGCGAACAGGAUUAGAUACCCUGGUAGUCCACGCCGUAAACGGUGGGCGCUAGGUGUGGGUUUCCUUCCACGGGAUCCGYGCCGUAGCUAACGCAUUAAGCGCCCCGCCUGGGGAGUACGG